UGUAGCAUACAUGGCGUACUGCUCAGUAACACGUGGACAACCUACCCUCCGGACGGGUAUAAACCCGGGAAACUGGGUAUAAUCCCCGAUAGAUCUCGGUCGCUGGAAAGCCCCGAGAUCGAAAGCUCCGGCGCCAGAGGAUGGGUCUGCGGCCUAUCAGGUAGUAGUGGGUGUAGCGUACCUACUAGCCUACGACGGGUACGGGUUGUGAGAGCAAGAGCCCGGAGAUGGAUUCUGAGACACGAAUCCAGGCCCUACGGGGUGCAGCAGGCGCGAAAACUUUACAAUGCCGGCAACGGCGAUAAGGGGACCUCGAGUGCCAGGUUACAAAUCUGGCUGUCGUGAUGCCUAAAAAGCAUUGCAUAGCAAGGGCCGGGCAAGACCGGUGUCAGCCGCCGCGGUAACACCGGCGGCUCGAGUGGUAACCGUUAUUAUUGGGUCUAAAGGGUCUGUAGCCGGCCGGAUAAGUCUCUUGAGAAAUCCAGCAGCUCAACUGUUGGGCUUUCAGGAGAUACUGUCUGGCUCGAGGCCGGGAGAGGUGAGAGGUACUUCAGGGGUAGGGGGUGAAAUCUUGUAAUCCUUGAAGGACCACCAGUGGCGAAGGCGUCUCACCAGAACGGACCUGACGGCAAGGGACGAAAGCUAGGGGCACGAACCGGAUUAGAUACCCGGGUAGUCCUAGCCGUAAACGAUACUCGCUAGGUGUCGGCCACGGUGCGACCGUUGUCGGUGCCGUAGGGAAGCCGUGAAGCGAGCCACCUGGGAAGUACGGCCGCAAGGCUGAAACUUAA
rnacentral:rRNA from 1 species